rnacentral:rRNA from 1 species
AACAGGAUUAGAUACCGUGGUAGUGCACGCUGUAAACGAUGUCGACUUGGAGGUUGUGCCCUUGAGGCGUGGCUUCCGGAGCUAACGCGUUAAGUCGACCGCCUGGGGAGUGCGGCCGCAAGGUUAAAACUCAAAUGAAUUGACGGGGGCCCGCACAAGCGGUGGAGCAUGUGGUUUAAUUCGAUGCAACGCGAAGAACCUUACCUACUCUUGACAUCCAGUGAAUUUGCUAGAGAUAGCUUAGUGCCUUCGGGAACUCUGAGACAGGUGCUGCAUGGCUGUCGUCAGCUCGUGUUGUGAAAUGUUGGGUUAAGUCCCGCAACGAGCGCAACCCUUAUCCUUUGUUGCCAGCACGUAAUGGUGGGAACUCAAAGGAGACUGCCGGUGAUAAACCGGAGGAAGGUGGGGAUGACGUCAAGUCAUCAUGGCCCUUACGAGUAGGGCUACACACGUGCUACAAUGGCAUAUACAAAGAGAAGCGAACUCGCGAGAGCAAGCGGACCUCAUAAAGUAUGUCGUAGUCCGGAUUGGAGUCUGCAACUCGACUCCAUGAAGUCGGAAUCGCUAGUAAUCGUAGAUCAGAAUGCUACGGUGAAUACGUUCCCGGGCCUUGUACACACCGCCCGUCACACCAUGGGAGUGGGUUGCAAAAGAAGUAGGUAGCUUAACCUUCGGGAGGGCGCUUACCACUUUGUGAUUCAUGACUGGGGUGAAGUCGUAACAAGGUAACC